rnacentral:rRNA from 1 species
UGACCUAUUUAUAUCGGAGGAAAUCAAAUGUCGAGACAGUUAAGCGAAUUUCUCAAUCGAAUGUAAGAAGUUCAAGGAAGUUGGUGACCUGAUGACAGGGAAGUUGAAGAUCGAAGCCCCUAUGAACAGGGACCGUAACUAUGACGGUCAUAAGGUAGUGAAACUCCUUGUCGGGUAAGUUUCGACCGACACGAAAUGCGUAACAA